UACAGAGGUCCCAAGCGUUGUUCGGAUUCACUGGGCGUAAAGGGUGCGUAGGUGGCGAGGUAAGUCGGAUGUGAAAGCUCGGAGCUCAACUCCGAAAUGGCAUUGGAAACUACCUUGCUCGAGGGUUGGAGGGGGGACUGGAAUUCUCGGUGUAGCAGUGAAAUGCGUAGAUAUCGUGAGGAACACCAGAGGCGAAGGCGGCUUCCUGGACAAUUGCUGACGCUCAGGCACGAAAGCGUGGGGAGCAAAAGGG
rnacentral:rRNA from 1 species